rnacentral:rRNA from 1 species
UACGUAGGGUGCGAGCGUUGUCCGGAAUUAUUGGGCGUAAAGGGCUCGUAGGCGGUUUGUCGCGUCGGGAGUGAAAACACCGGGCUUAACUCGGUGCUUGCUUUCGAUACGGGCAGACUAGAGGUAUGCAGGGGAGAACGGAAUUCCCGGUGUAGCGGUGAAAUGCGCAGAUAUCAGGAGGAACACCGGUGGCGAAGGCGGUUCUCUGGGCAUUACCUGACGCUGAGGAGCGAAAGUGUGGGGAGCGAACAGG